CCCGCUCAGAAACUUAAAGGAAGUUGACGGGGCCCGCACAAGCGGUGGAGUAUGUGGUUUAAUUCGAUGCAACGCGAAGAACCUUACCUGGUCUUGACAUCCCGGAGACCCUUAGGAAACUAGGGGGUGCUUCCAUCUGGAAGAAUCUGGAGACAGGUGCUGCAUGGCUGUCGUCAGCUCGUGUCGUGAGAUGUUGGGUUAAGUCCCGCAACGAGCGCAACCCUUGCCUUUAGUUGCCAGCAGUUCGGCUGGGCACUCUAAAGGGACUGCCGGUGUUAAACCGGAGGAAGGUGGGGAUGACGUCAAGUCCUCAUGGCCUUUAUGACCAGGGCUACACACGUACUACAAUGGCCGAUACAAAGGGCAGCGACACUGCGAGGUGAAGCCAAUCCCGUAAAAUCGGUCUCAGUCCGGAUUGGAGUCUGCAACUCGACUCCAUGAAGUUGGAAUCGCUAGUAAUCGUGGAUCAGCAUGCCACGGUGAAUACGUUCCCGGGCCUU
rnacentral:rRNA from 1 species